GAUUAAUCCUUGCUUCUAUUUCUUUUCACAAUUACCGGUAUUGAGAAAAUGCAUGUAUCUUUCAGGAAUUUAAUCUGAUUCAGUAGAACUGAUUGAGGUUAAGAAACUUUAGCAUUAGUAGUAAAUAAAUUGGUUUGCCCUUUUAUCAAUAGAGGGAACUCCCCAGGAAAGCAUCUGUGAAAUGUGGCUUGUGUUGUGACCCCCUGUAACAGGACGGGCAGGUUUAUUCAUAGUGUUUGCUUGUCCCAGUGAUUUUCUGAGCUGAAAUUAUCGUUUAUAGUGUUUUUUCCUCUAUCUUAGUGAGUUUCCUCUGCUUUUUCCUAGGUACAUUUCCCGGGUCCUUCGCAGGCUUCCCUCACAAACUUACUCCGAAAUGGGUCAACAGUGGCAUCGCCAGCCCCGCUCACAGAGACCCCAAAACCUAGUGGGAUCAUACCAGGUGCGAUAGCUGCUGCGCUGUUCAUAAGCUUCAUUCUGGCUCUCUAUACAGUUCUGUGGAAAUGCAUGGUCUCCCCACCCAGAAGGUGAGAGAGAAGAUGAUAUAUAGGUGGAAUCCUUGUUUUUUCACUAAUUAGGUUAAUAUAUAUGCAAAGUAUGAUAUAUGCAAAAUAUGAGCUGUGAACAAUAAUUCAGUUAAAAUACUCAAUCUAAGUGUAAACUGGGAGGUCUUCACUGUGGAAAAUCCUAAAGCAAGCAUAUUGUCUAUAAUACCCUGAAAAAAUCUCCAAAAUGAUAUAUUUACAAGACAUUUUUUAUUUUAAUUGUAAUAAUAUACAGCUCUGGAAAAAAAGAGACCACUUCAGUUUCUGAAUCAAUUUCUCUGAUUUCGCUAUUUAUAUGUAUACGCUUGAGUAAAAUGAACUACGGACAACACUUCUCCCAAAUUCCAAAUAAAAGCAUUUAUUUGUAGAAAAUAAGAAAUGGC
rnacentral:lncRNA from 1 species